UCCUCAAGUAUUUUUAGAAAAAGCAUUCCAGUUAAUUAAAUUGGCAAACGAUUCUUUUUAUCAUUAACUAAUAUUACAGACAACCAACUUAUAUUUAGUUUUGCUUGAACAACAUAUAUCUAAUGUCGUUUAUUACAUUGAAAAUUAAUAAACAACUAAUGGAUAUAUGAAUACCUUUUUGAUGUCAUGUUUUGUUUUAAAGAUAUCAACAAUUGUCUCCUUGAUAAUUUCGGAUUUGAAAUUGUAUUCCAAUUCGAACAAAGAGCAAACCGACGAUCUUCUUAUUUGCCCUUGGGUCAUAUUUCUUCGGCUUCUUCUUGAAUGAUCCAUUCUUUCUCGUUAAAGUGUAAUAAUGAGAAAAGUGGGUUAAGUAAUGAAAUAGUUAGUUAAAUAA
rnacentral:lncRNA from 1 species